CAGCUAAAUAAAUCCAGGCUUAAUCACACAGUCUUGGGACCUUGGCCUCCCUUGCCCAUCUCAAGGGUUCCAUUGGGAAAAUGUUCAUCAGUGACGUAUCUAGACCAGUACCAGUGUGAUUUCCAGACUUGUCCCAUCUCUUCAAUUGGAAUUCCCUUUGUCUCAGGCAAGAAAUAAUAAACAAAGAUGGACAUCACCAACACAAAGAAUGCAAAGAAGAGGAAAAGCCCAAAUUUUAAGUGGCAAAGCAUUGUUAGGAAAACUUGAGCUACUAUAAAUGUAAAGAGCAUGUUCACUGAAACAUUGACACUCUGAGCAGCAGAUCGGAUUUCGAGUGGGAAAAUUUCACUGGGAACCAACCAGCCAAGAGGACCCCAA
rnacentral:misc_RNA from 1 species